GGUUAAGUGACUAAGCGUACACGGUGGAUGCCUUGGCAGUCAGAGGCGAUGAAAGACGUAGUAACUUGCGAUAAGCCCAGAUUAGGUAGUAACAACCAUUUGAGUCUGGGAUUUCUGAAUGGGGAAACCCACUUACAUAAGUAAGUAUCAUUAACUGAAUACAUAGGUUAAUGAGGCGAACCGGGGAACUGAAACAUCUAAGUACCCCGAGGAAAAGAAAUCAACCGAGAUUCCGAAAGUAGCGGCGAGCGAAAUUGGACUAGCCCUUAAGCUUUACACGCGUUAGACGAACGGUCUGGAAAGUCCGACGAUACAGGGUGAUAGUCCCGUAGUUGACGACGUGUGUUCAGUGAAAUCGAGUAGGGCGGGACACGUGAUAUCCUGUCUGAAUAUGGGGGACCAUCCUCCAAGGCUAAAUACUACUGACUGACCGAUAGUGAACCAGUACCGUGAGGGAAAGGCGAAAAGAACCCCUGUGAGGGGAGUGAAAUAGAACCUGAAACCGUGUACGUACAAGCAGUAGGAGCAGGCUUUGUCCUGUGACUGCGUACCUUUUGUAUAAUGGGUCAGCGACUUAUAUUCAGUGGCAAGGUUAACCAUCUAGGGGAGCCGUAGGGAAACCGAGUCUUAACUGGGCGUUCAGUCUCUGGAUAUAGACCCGAAACCAGGUGAUCUAGCCAUGGGCAGGUUGAAGGUUGAGUAACAUCAACUGGAGGACCGAACCGACUAAUGUUGAAAAAUUAGCGGAUGACUUGUGGCUAGGGGUGAAAGGCCAAUCAAACCUGGAGAUAGCUGGUUCUCCCCGAAAGCUAUUUAGGUAGCGCCUCGGACGAAUACUACUGGGGGUAGAGCACUGUUAAGGCUAGGGGGUCAUCCCGACUUACCAACCCUUUGCAAACUCCGAAUACCAGUAAGUACUAUCCGGGAGACACACGGCGGGUGCUAACGUCCGUCGUGGAGAGGGAAACAACCCAGACCGCCAGCUAAGGUCCCAAAUUACUACUAAGUGGGAAACGAUGUGGGAAGGCUCAGACAGCCAGGAUGUUGGCUUAGAAGCAGCCAUCAUUUAAAGAAAGCGUAAUAGCUCACUGGUCGAGUCGGCCUGCGCGGAAGAUGUAACGGGGCUAAGUAGUAAACCGAAGCUGCGGCAAUGUGCUUUUGCACAUUGGGUAGGGGAGCGUUCUGUAAGCGGUUGAAGGUGUGUGGUAACGCAUGCUGGACGUAUCAGAAGUGCGAAUGCUGACAUGAGUAACGAUAAAGGGGUGAAAAACCUCCUCGCCGGAAGACCAAGGGUUCCUGUCCAACGUUAAUCGGGGCAGGGUAAGUCGACCCCUAAGGCGAGGCCGAAAGGCGUAGUCGAUGGGAAACGGGUUAAUAUUCCCGUACUUCUUACAAUUGCGAUGGGGGACGGAGAAGGCUAGGUGGGCCUGGCGACGGUUGUCCAGGUUCAAGUGCGUAGGCUUAAGAGUUAGGUAAAUCCGGCUCUUUCUAAGGCUGAGACACGACGUCGAGCACCUACGGGUGUGAAGUCAUUGAUGCCAUGCUUCCAGGAAAAGCCUCUAAGCUUCAGAUUGUAAGGAAUCGUACCCCAAACCGACACAGGUGGUCGGGUAGAGAAUACCAAGGCGCUUGAGAGAACUCGGGUGAAGGAACUAGGCAAAAUGGUACCGUAACUUCGGGAGAAGGUACGCUCUUGAUGGUGAAGUCCCUUGCGGAUGGAGCUGACGAGAGUCGCAGAUACCAGGUGGCUGCAACUGUUUAUUAAAAACACAGCACUGUGCAAAAUCGUAAGAUGACGUAUACGGUGUGACGCCUGCCCGGUGCCGGAAGGUUAAUUGAUGGGGUUAGACUUCGGUCGAAGCUCUUGAUCGAAGCCCCGGUAAACGGCGGCCGUAACUAUAACGGUCCUAAGGUAGCGAAAUUCCUUGUCGGGUAAGUUCCGACCUGCACGAAUGGCGUAAUGAUGGCCACGCUGUCUCCACCCGAGACUCAGUGAAAUUGAAAUCGCUGUGAAGAUGCAGUGUACCCGCGGCUAGACGGAAAGACCCCGUGAACCUUUACUACAGCUUGGCACUGAACAUUGACCCUACAUGUGUAGGAUAGGUGGGAGGCUUUGAAGCACGUACGCCAGUAUGUGUGGAGCCGUCCUUGAAAUACCACCCUUGUAGUGUUGAUGUUCUAACGUCGACCCCUAAUCGGGGUUGCGGACAGUGCCUGGUGGGUAGUUUGACUGGGGCGGUCUCCUCCCAAAGAGUAACGGAGGAGCACGAAGGUGGGCUAAUCACGGUUGGACAUCGUGAGGUUAGUGCAAUGGCAUAAGCCCGCUUGACUGCGAGAAUGACAAUUCGAGCAGGUGCGAAAGCAGGUCAUAGUGAUCCGGUGGUUCUGAAUGGAAGGGCCAUCGCUCAACGGAUAAAAGGUACUCCGGGGAUAACAGGCUGAUACCGCCCAAGAGUUCAUAUCGACGGCGGUGUUUGGCACCUCGAUGUCGGCUCAUCACAUCCUGGGGCUGAAGUCGGUCCCAAGGGUAUGGCUGUUCGCCAUUUAAAGUGGUACGCGAGCUGGGUUUAGAACGUCGUGAGACAGUUCGGUCCCUAUCUGCCGUGGGCGUUGGAAGAUUGAAGGGGCUGCUCCUAGUACGAGAGGACCGGAGUGGACGAACCUCUGGUGUUCGGGUUGUGUCGCCAGACGCAUUGCCCGGUAGCUAAGUUCGGAAUCGAUAACCGCUGAAAGCAUCUAAGCGGGAAGCGAGCCCUGAGAUGAGUCUUCCCUGAUACUUUAAGUAUCCUAAAGGGUUGUCGGAGACUACGACGUUGAUAGGUCAGGUGUGUAAGUGCUGUGAGGCAUUGAGCUAACUGAUACUAAUUGCCCGUGAGGCUUAACCAU
rnacentral:rRNA from 1 species